UGAGGAAUAUUGGUCAAUGGGCGAGAGCCUGAACCAGCCAAGUAGCGUGCAGGAUGACGGCCCUAUGGGUUGUAAACUGCUUUUAUAUGGGAAUAAAGUGAGGGACGUGUCCCUUAUUGCAUGUACCAUACGAAUAAGGACCGGCUAAUUCCGUGCCAGCAGCCGCGGUAAUACGUAGGUCCCGAGCGUUGUCCGGAUUUAUUGGGCGUAAAGCGAGCGCAGGCGGUUAGAAAAGUCUGAAGUGAAAGGCAGUGGCUCAACCAUUGUAGGCUUUGGAAACUGUUUAACUUGAGUGCAGAAGGGGAGAGUGGAAUUCCAUGUGUAGCGGUGAAAUGCGUAGAUAUAUGGAGGAACACCGGUGGCGAAAGCGGCUCUCUGGUCUGUAACUGACGCUGAGGCUCGAAAGCGUGGGGAGCGAACAGG
rnacentral:rRNA from 1 species